UACGAAGGGGGCUAGCGUUGCUCGGAAUCACUGGGCGUAAAGGGUGCGUAGGCGGGUCUUUAAGUCAGGGGUGAAAUCCUGGAGCUCGACUCCAGAACUGCCUUUGAUACUGAAGAUCUCGAGUCCGGGAGAGGUGAGUGGAACUGCGAGUGUAGAGGUGAAAUUCGUAGAUAUUCGCAAGAACACCAGUGGCGAAGGCGGCUCACUGGCCCGGUACUGACGCUGAGGCACGAAAGC
rnacentral:rRNA from 1 species